CCAUGGUCCCACCAUCCCCCACAUGGGAAAUGGCAGGCGGCGUGCCGCAGGGGUUAACUGCUGAAAGCGUUUCAAAUUCGGCUGUCGAGAACGAAAAAGUGGCGAGGCAUCCAGCUUCCGAACGUGCGUGAGUUAAGCAGCACAGUGUAGGAGCAGUCAGCGUUGCAGAGAGAGGCCAUUCUGUGAUUCUGAGACUUCCUGGUCAUUCUGGAGCAUCAGCAGCUGUACCUGGAUAUGAAUUGCACUGUGAUACAGGGAGAAACUGGAGCUGCCUCAUCAGUGCCAUUUCCGUGUUGUCAGAUCUCAGGAGAAGGACAGCAUGGAUGAAUUUGUGCAACAACCCUUCCAGCCAUAGAAGAUUAUAUCUUACAAGAAAAUCCACUGGUGACCUGUAAGCUUCGCUGGCCAUUCCUCACCCACAGUGGUAAGCAGUCUUUUGAGAUCAGCAAGAAUCUUUUUGGUAUACCUGGAAACUAGUCUGAUUAUCUAAGUUUCUAAAGACAUAAUUUAGAACCCACUCUCUGUGGACUAAAGAAUCUGUUUAGUGCUUGUUUCUUGUCUUGGCUGUUCCAUGAUAGUGAGCUUUACCACUUGAACUCACUGAUUGAAGUUUUAAGCUGAAUUUAUUUUAUUUCUUUUUCCAAAAUCUGUUACCAAAAUUCAGAGUAUUUUGCAGUUCAAAAACUGUUCUUUGCUUCAUCAAAGAUUUUAUUAAACUGGUCUGUCCCAUCCUCCUCACAGGACUGUAGUGGUGCGUAUCCUUGUAUGAUACAGAUAACAGGAAUUACGAGAUUGGCUCUGAAAUAAUAGGGAUGAUACUUUAUCCUCAUCUGCCAUCUGAAGGAAUUGGAGUAAAGGCUGUCAAUUACAGAUCUAAUUGACUAGCCUUACAGAUGUGCUGUGUUAGGAUGAAGGCAUUUGGUUCUUAACAGACACAGAGCCCAAGCUUUCUCACUGCGUUUCUGUUACAUGUAAGGAUUAAUGCUGAAUAACAGUGAUAACAGAUGAAUCCCAUCUGGUUUUCUGUUAUUUGUUAGUUCAAUUCAGUGUAUAACUACUCACAGUUUAGUCUGCCAGCCAAGGAAGGUAUGCAAUUAUCAACAAUACUGAUAGGACAAACCUGUUAUGUAAGCAUACUUUCAGAUCUCUCUAAAUUCCAUAAUAAAACUCUUGAGGUGAAAUGCACCAGCUUACAGAAUGAUUCAGCAUCAAGGAGAGGUGUGCUUCAGAGCUCUGGGUAGACUAAAUGUCCUUGCUGACUGAUCCUGUGCCUUCCAGUUGAUCUCCUUCCUAUUGCCUCUUUCAGGCAUGAAAUAUAGCAGGAUACUUAUAAGAAGUAGAAACAAGAAAAACACAGAGUUGUAAGGAAGAUUUGUGUUCGGAAGACUGUGGGGGCCCAAGCACAGCAUGCACUGUAUUUGGGGGUGGGGAGGGUCUCGUUAGUGUGACACCUUUGAGCUGUAACUUGUUUCUCCAACUGUGUAUCCAAUCACUGGCAUGGCAGGAGUCCAAAAUAAUCCUCUUUGGAGAGAGGAAAGUGCCUGUGGAGCUGGGCUGAAGUUGUCCUUUCCUUGUAGAGAUAUGCAUAGUGUGGGAGGUGGUUCCUCCUUCCUCCUUAGCCCCUGUGAAAACUGAUAACUCCAUGAGACGGUCAACUAUGCAACUGCAGAUCCACAGAGCAUCACAGAAGUCUGAGAUGCUCUCUCCCGACACACAACUAAGCAGUACACAGACAUGGAAGCAGCUUCACAAACUUGCUAACAGAUGCCCCAUACCAAGUUAAGUUAGUGAUGGGUGAGGUGGGAGAAUGAUAGCCCAAAAAGCUGAUAUUGAAGAAAAAGGAUGAGGCAGUGGAAGAUGAAAGGAAGUACAGACGCUGAUUUGAUUUGCCAUUGUUUGCUAGAAAUGUAUCCUUUUGCCCAC